UGCAAAUGGCUCAUUAAAUCAGUUAUCGUUUAUUUGAUAGUACCUUACUACACGGAUAUCUGUGGUAAUUCUAGAGUUAAUACGUGCUAAAAACCCCGACUUCGGGAGGGGUGUAUUUAUUAGACUAAAAACCAACGCCCUUCGGGGCUCCUUGGUGAUUCAUAAUAACUCAACGAAUCGCAUGGCCUUGAGCCGGCGAUGGUUCAUUCAAAUUUCUGCCCUAUCAACUUUCGAUGCUAGGGUAGUGGCCUAGCAUGGUGACAACGGGUAACGGGGGAUUAGGGUUCUAUUCCGGAGAGGGAGCCCGAGAAACGGCUACCACAUCCAAGGAAGGCAGCAGGCGCGCAAAUUACCCAAUCCCGACACGGGGAGGUAGUGACAAUAAAUACUGAUACAGGGCUCUUUUGGGUCUUGUAAUUGGAAUGAGUACGAUUUAAAUACCCUAACGAGGAACAAUUGGAGGGCAAGUCUGGUGCCAGCAGCCGCGGUAAUUCCAGCUCCAAUAGCGUAUAUUAAAGUUGUUGCAGUUAAAACGCUCGUCGUUGAACCUUGGGCCUGGGCGAUCGGUCCCCCUCACCGGGAGCACUGGUUCGGCCGGGCCUUUCCUUCUGGGGAUCCGCAUGCCCUUCGCUGGGCGUGUCGGGGAACCAGGACUUUUACUUUGAAAAAAUUAGAGUGUUCAAAGCAGGCCUUUGCUCGAAUACCUUAGCAUGGAAUAAUAGAAUAGGACGUGCGGUCCUAUUUUGUUGGUUUCUAGGACCGCCGUAAUGAUUAAUAGGGUCAGUCGGGGGCAUCAGUAUUCAAUUGUCAGAGGUGAAAUUCUUAGAUUUAUUGAAGACUAACUACUGCGAAAGCAUUUGCCAAGGAUGUUUUCAUUAAUCAGUGAACGAAAGUUAGGGGAUCGAAGACGAUCAGAUACCGUCGUAGUCCUAACCAUAAACUAUGCCGACUAGGGAUCGGGGUAUACUCAUUUUUGGUUGCCUCGGCACCUUACGAGAAAUCAAAGUGUUUGGGUUCUGGGGGGAGUAUAGUCGCAAGGCCGAAACUUAAAGAAAUUGACGGAAGGGCACCACCAGGCGUGGAGCCUGCGGCUUAAUUUGACUCAACACGGGGAAACUCACCAGGUCCAGACACAAUAAGGAUUGACAGAUUGAGAGCUCUUUCUUGAUUUUGUGGGCGGUGGUGCAUGGCCGUUUUUAGUUGGUGGAGUGAUUUGUCUGCUUAAUUGCGAUAACGAACGAGACCUUAACCGGCUAAAUAGCCAGGCUAGCUUGGCUGGUCGCUUGUAGUCAAUGAGUCACUUGGAGGGA
rnacentral:rRNA from 1 species